rnacentral:rRNA from 1 species
GAUGAACGCUGGCGGCGUGCCUAAUACAUGCAAGUAGAACGCUGAAGGAAGGAGCUUGCUCUUUCCGGAUGAGUUGCGAACGGGUGAGUAACGCGUAGGUAACCUGCCUGGUAGCGGGGGAUAACUAUUGGAAACGAUAGCUAAUACCGCAUAACAGUAGAUGUUGCAUGAUAUCUACUUAAAAGGUGCAAUUGCACCACUACCAGAUGGACCUGCGUUGUAUUAGCUAGUUGGUGAGGUAACGGCUCACCAAGGCGACGAUACAUAGCCGACCUGAGAGGGUGAUCGGCCACACUGGGACUGAGACACGGCCCAGACGCCUACGGGAGGCAGCAGUAGGGAAUCUUCGGCAAUGGACGGAAGUCUGACCGAGCAACGCCGCGUGAGUGAAGAAGGUUUUCGGAUCGUAAAGCUCGGUUGUAAGAGAAGAACGAGUGUGAGAGUGGAAAGUUCACACUGUGACGGUAUCUUACCAGAAAGGGACGGCUAACUACGUG